UGGUUUAAGUGUUCCUGCCUGGAUGGAA
rnacentral:piRNA from 1 species